rnacentral:lncRNA from 1 species
GGAUUGGGAUAUUCCGACUCCUUAAGGGCCUGGCGCACAUAAGGUGUGACCUUUUCAUUCCCGUUGUUAUGGAGAUUGCGUACCCACUGCAGAGUGCUGAAGACGGGGUAGCCACGAGGUUUUGAGAACAGAGUGCUGUUUUAGAGCUGGCAGCAGCAUCUCAGCCCAAGAGAAGGUAAGCCUUGAGCUGGCCAAUGAUCCCUUCAACCCCAUAGUGGAAUGAAUAAACAGCUGAUCUUGUUAAAACUCGCUUC